rnacentral:rRNA from 1 species
AUUGAACGCUGGCGGCAUGCCUUACACAUGCAAGUCGAACGGCAGCACGGGUGCUUGCACCUGGUGGCGAGUGGCGAACGGGUGAGUAAUAUAUCGGAACGUACCUUAUCGUGGGGGAUAACGCAGCGAAAGCUGUGCUAAUACCGCAUAAGCCCUAAGGGGGAAUGCAGGGGACCGUAAGGCCUUGCGCGAUUAGAGCGGCCGAUACCUGAUUAGCUAGUUGGUGAGGUAAAGGCUCACCAAGGCAACGAUCAGUAGCUGGUCUGAGAGGACGAACAGCCACAGGGGGACUGAGACACGGCCCAGACGCCUGCGGGAGGCAGCAGUGGGGAAUUUUGGACAAUGGGGGCAACGCUGAUCCAGCAAUGCCGCAUGAGUGAAGGAGGCCUUCGGGUUGUAAAGCUCUUUUGUCAGGGAAGAAACAGCAGCUCUAAUACAGUAUGCGAAUGACGGUACCUGAAGAAUAAGCACCGGCUAACUACGUGCCAGCCGCCGCCGUAA